CCUUCCAUCUACGGAAUUAUUCCUCUGAAACCCUAGCCUCCGAGACUACUAUAAAAGCAUAGCCACACACAAUGGUAGAGGUACGUCUAAAUUCUUACUGAAACUCUGCAUAAAUUAUUUCUCAAAAACCCUAGCCACCUCCUCUCUUUCUCUCUCUCACACAAGGCUCCGGCCACCACACACGGCUCCGGCCACCCGGUUUUCCUUGAAAUAUCCUACCUAACUUAGGCAUCGGAGGGCCUUUGGCCAACACCCCCCGGGUGUGGUCCUUUUACUCCGAUCUAUUUUGC
rnacentral:lncRNA from 1 species